GCGCUCUUAAUUCAGUUUGGCAGAAUAUGGGUCUUAAAAACCCAAUGUCGUAGGUUCAAAUCCUACAGAGCGUA